rnacentral:tRNA from 2 species
GUCAGGAUGGCCGAGCGGUCUAUGGUGCUGCGUUCAGGUCGCAGUCUCCCCUGGAGGCGUGGGUUCGAAUCCCACUUCUGACA